UCGAGGGGCAAGGCUGAUGCUCCGGGCCAGCUGGGGUCUCUGGGUAGCGGCGGAGAAGGAAGGAGGAAGAGCGGAGGCCAGGGCGGGCUCUAGGCCGUGGAAUCUGGGGCCUUAAAGCCCCUUCGUCUCCCCAGCACCCACUCUCUGGGGGCAGGUGGGCCCGGUGACAGUAACCUUCAGGGAGCCCUGAAGACCAUGGAGGACUACUGACCAACAACCUCUGACCUUCACCCCUCUGGAUGGGGGACGAAUCACUAGGCAAAGGGGAACAAUGGGAAGGAGACAAAAUGGCUGCCUUUACAGCUGCAGCAAGAUGUGGAAACACUGGUUCCCUAGGCACCUCCAUUGUCUUCCCGCCUUGGGAGCAUGAAAUAAAUAAAGUGUGAAGGGGAACAUGAGGAAGACUGAUCCAAGUCACUUGA
rnacentral:lncRNA from 1 species